GACGAACGCUGGCGGCGUGCUUAACACAUGCAAGUCGAACGGAAAGGCCCUGCUUUUGUGGGGUGCUCGAGUGGCGAACGGGUGAGUAACACGUGAGUAACCUGCCCUUGACUUUGGGAUAACUUCAGGAAACUGGGGCUAAUACCGGAUAGGAGCUCCUGCUGCAUGGUGGGGGUUGGAAAGUUUCGGCGGUUGGGGAUGGACUCGCGGCUUAUCAGCUUGUUGGUGAGGUAGUGGCUUACCAAGGCUUAGACGGGUAGCCGGCCUGAGAGGGUGACCGGCCACAUUGGGACUGAGAUACGGCCCAGACUCCUACGGGAGGCAGAGGUGGGGAGUAUUGCACAAUGGGGGGAAGCCUGAUGCAGCAACGCCGCGUGCGGGAUGACGGCCUUCGGGUUGUAAACCGCUUUCGACUGUGACGAAGCGUGAGUGACGGUAAUGGGUAAAGAAGCACCGGCUAACUACGUG
rnacentral:rRNA from 1 species